rnacentral:misc_RNA from 1 species
UUUCCGUAGGUGAACCUGCGGAAGGAUCAUUAUUGAAUAAACCUGAUGUGACUGUUAGCUGGCUUUUCGAAGCAUGUGCUCGUCCGUCAUCUUUAAUCUCUCCACCUGUGCACAUUUUGUAGUCUUGGAUACCUCUCGAGGCAACUCGGAUUUUAGGAUCGCCGUGCUGUACAAGUCGACUUUUCUUUCAUUUCCAAGACUAUGUUUUUAUAUACACCAAAGUAUGUUUAAAGAAUGUCAUCAAUAGGAACUUGUUUCCUAUAAAAUUAUACAACUUUCAGCAACGGAUCUCUUGGCUCUC